GCUUCGAGGUAUUUCGCCUCCGAGUCUAGAGUUUAUUGGAGCUAUUUGGUCUUGCAGUGAGAGAGGUAAGGAAGGUGGGAACACCACUAUCCUGGUGGACCUUCCGGCUGUAUGGAGGCGUCGAUGGUGCCGGAGGAAGUGAAGAUGCUGAUGACUCAGGUAUGUAACGGAAUGGUGCAGGCCAUGGGAACUGGGGAAUGACAACUGGUGAAAAGAGGGGAUUGAUGAUGCUGAUGAUAAAGUCUGUUGCAACUGCGAAACAGGCGGAUGGAGAUGAAGUGCCAUAUUCUGAGGAGAACAAAGAUAGCGAGGAUGGUGUUUGGUGAACUCGACGCAGAGAAGACGAUUUGCAUAAUCUUUGUAGGGUUCAUACAAGGACACAAGAAGAUGGGAAAAAAAUGCUGAUCAGGAUCGAUGAGCAAUAAGGUAUAUACUGUUACUGCUUAUCAGCUUUGAUCAUUGUAGCAGCAUUCUCGUAUGCUCUUUUUGGCGGAUAAGAGUAUGUCCUCAAUAGUCCAUGAGCAUUACAAAGUUUCUUAAGCCGACAGUUCAGGUGGCCAUGGGAGGGGGCGAGGUGGUUCUGGACACAAUGGAUUUCGUUUUAACUUACACAGCUGCUACUGCAGCCUGUUGAGGAUCCUGGACAGUUAGCCACAGGAAUGAUCAAGUGCCACAAAAUUGUGCCCAUCUUUUACUAUCCGGAGUUGGAGCUAUUACUGAUGAUGAUGUGUAGGUCUUACAGUAAUUGUCACAAUCUUCCCACUUGUAUGGUUUUGUCAUUCUUGGACUUUCUAAUUAUCCAUCAUCUUCCUCAGACGACCUCCAUCAUCCUUUGAAUUAGAUCAAUAGUUGUUACGUGAUCUUUUCCGUAAUUUUCUGCAAUGUGGACAAUCUUGUAGCAUUUCAUCAGUCACUAAGAGAUGCUACAAAUUCUCAGUUCUAUUAUAAGGUUUCCCCGUAGGAUGUGGUAUAAUUAGGUAGAUUUCUCUCUUUCCUGAGGCUGUGCAUGCAGCACUAACUUUGGAUCGCACAAGAGUCACCAUAUGUUUGUGGCCUCGUACGAUGUGGAGUCCCGUCUGCGGUCAGGUAUCCGAUCAAACACCUGGCGAGCAUCCCCCACGGGAGAGCAUCUCCGGCAGCUUAUUCUUGGUCCUGAAGUCGGCAUGGGAAAGUGUCACUUGACGGAUCUUUUACUUCAUCCACCCAACAGAUCAAGUCAUGUGGAAAUGAGUUGAAGCACCCAAAUCUCUGCUAUUGCUCUGUUGGCCAAAGAGAAGCAAAUUGCAAGGAAUUCGUUCUUCGAGCGGCGGAGACACGAAUCUGCUGCUUUCGCAAAAUUUCAGGUGACAUUGCAAGAAAAGCAAAGGAGAAGAACAAGUUCUUGCCCUCCUUCCAAUCCUUCAGACCCUUAAACCUUGCAACUUACGCUGUGUGCAGGGCGAAGCACACUGCCGCUAUUGGCUCUCCACUCAUGACUAGAUAUCGAUGGAACAAUCCGCACCAAAAAGAUAUGAUGUGCUUCCACCUGAUCAGGUGUCAAUGAAGACUUGGAAGCUUGCACCUCAUGCAACUGAGCUGGAUCCAUUUUGUUCCACAACUCGAGUGUCAAACAAUGCUGCGUCUCACAUGGUUGUUCAUAAUGAUCCAUCUACCAUCAGAAGGCACAAGGAAAACACAAGUGAAGGAUUGGAAACAGAGGGGUCCCCCUGUCCUCUCCAUGUUUCUUUCUUUAAUGCAGUGGGACACAACCGGGCAUCCCCUCUCUGCCAACAUCUCUCUUCCAAGCUUAGCAUGACAGGUGUGAUGGGUAAAGCAGCAAAGUCACCAACACGUCUCCAAAGGCUACAGGCUUUGAGCUGCUUUGUCUACUUUUAUCUUCUUCCCCCUCCGGCUUUCUUUUUUUUCCCUUUUUACUGUGAGAAGUUGGGAGGUAAGCAUAGUAUGCAGCUCUGCUUGUCGUAACAAUUGAAGCAUCAUUUCAGCAGAGGAAUGAAAGCAAGCACAGAUGACAUGAGGUAGUAGUAGUAGCUGGCCAUCAUUUGCAGCGACUCUGUUGGCAUUAUGUAUCAGAGGCCAAAGAAGAAUUGGCAAGUGAUUCAGUGAGUACAUUGGUCAAAAUAAGGCCGGGGAAGUAGUGUCACAUGAUUCCAGCGGAGGGCACCUACAUGCUUUGUCCCUACUUCACUUGGUAGAGCGAGGAUGAACAGGACUUGGAACAGUGGUGAGAUCUGCAGGUUUUUACAGUGAGGUUGACAAUUUUUACACCAAUAGACUUGCAAGUUCAUAGAAACUUUGGAGUUCCUACAUGCUCUAAUCACAGAGAGUUGGUAAAGGAUAUUGAUGUCAUUUAGAACAGUCAGAAGUUAGACUGAUGGAGAUCAAGCAUAAUGAUACAUGCAUGUAGUAAAGUCUCA